CAUUUAGUAAUUUAGACUUUGAAGCCAUUGGAAGAAUCUUAAUUAAACCUUUUUUAGGCAUGAAAAAAUAGCUAUUACAGUGCUUGCAAAACCUAUCUUUCGCUUGGCUCAUGCGUUAUUAGGAUGAUGCUUAAAUUAUUAUUUUUUAAUGUAACUGUGUCUCCUUUAUUAAGAAAUGUUGACUAGACAAGUGAUCUGUCCAAAUUUAAAACUAGAAAUAGAACCUUUAUCUCCCACCCUGUCUGAAUUAUUCUUUCCAUAUGUAGCUGCUUAGUUGUGUCUUUACCACUAAUUAACCAUGUGAACUCUAAGCAAGUUAUUUUACUUUUCUUCAUCUUUUUAUCUUUUGUAAAAUUAGGGGGUUAUUAUGAAUCAUUUCUAACAUCUCUGCUAAUGCCCCAGAUACUGUAAAUGACCCAGAAUGUAAUUGCGGGCAGUGUUAACUUAGCUUCCUAGAAGAUGGGGGAUAUGACUGGGCCUUGAAUAAAAUCCAAGAUUUGGCAGAGUAGAGAGGGAAAGAAUUCAUGAGAUGGGGAGCAGUAGAACAAAGGCUUAGGUGUGAAUAUGUGGCUGUAGUAAAGAGAAAUGGCCUGAUUAUAGCAAUUAUAUGAGGUUUAGUAGAACCAUUUAAGAAAGGUAAAGCCACUUCAUAGAAAUUAUUUUAUCCCUGCUUCAGCUGUGAACAAUUCAGCUGCCAUUAAUUCUUUAGACGCAGG
rnacentral:lncRNA from 1 species